rnacentral:lncRNA from 1 species
GUGGGAGAACUGCACAGCUUACAAGUGUAGUGUUUGGAGUGCAGACAGGGCUCAGGUGGGAGCAAUCAGAUCUCACCAGCAGACAACCUCUGAUCAAGUCCUCCUGUGACGAGUCUCUGGCUUUGGGACUCUCAUGAAAUGCUUCAUUAUCUCCCUCUCUUCUUACGCCACAUGCAAAGAAAAAGAAAAAGUGGGUACCUUCUGGGCAUCUGAGAAAUGGGACUACUAAGCAUCCUGCACCUUGAGGACCUUCAGAAAGGAGCAAUGUACUGAGAAGCUAUUGGCGUGCAGCCAGGUACAUCCCAGCUCCUUGGACCUGAAGCACAAGAAAAAAACAUUGUCCUUCCAGCUAGCAACAUGGGGGCUGAGCAAGAGGGCAAGCCUAGGCUCUUCCAGGACUCCUUCUGCUGCCUUGGAGAAGCCCUGAGAGGGGCCCCAGAAGACUGCACAGGGUCCAGGCUUUGCUAUUGCUUCCCUGGGAUGCAGGACCAAGUCCCCUCAGCCAGGCAUCUAUGUAUCUAUUCAUUUAUGGAUCUGACUACUCAUCAAAUAGUUACUGCACCCUUACUAUUUGCCACCUACCGCCCAGGUCCUGGAGACAUCAAUCUGUUGCCUGAGGAGCUGUUACUGUCCAGUGGUAAAAAGCCUGUGGAAAAGGUUACAGUGAAUGUG